rnacentral:misc_RNA from 1 species
GGUUGGGCAGAGCUACUUGGUAAGGCUGCAGGGACUGCUACGCCCUAUACGAACCGAGAAUGCCGGUAGUGGCGACGAUCUUGGCAGCCUCGAGAAUGUUUCUCAGGGUUCUUCGAAUGAGGGGGUGAUGCCAUUUGUCGUGGUUGAGCAACCUCCUAUGCGCUGAUGGUUGGGAAAAAUGUACAGUAAUUUUGUUUAGGUGGAUGGAUGUGAUAUCUUUGUAA